rnacentral:rRNA from 1 species
GACGCCCGCUGGCGGCGUGCUUAACACAUGCAAGUCGAACGGAAAGGCCCUGCUUUUGUGGGGUGCUCGAGUGGCGAACGGGUGAGUAACAAGUGAGUAACCUGCCCUUGACUUUGGGAUAACUUCCGGAAACUGGGGCUAAUACCGGAUAGGAGCUCCUGCUGCAUGGUGGGGUUUGGACAUUUUCGGCGGUUGGGGAUGGACUCGCGGCUUAUCAGCUUGUUGGUGGGGUAGUGGCUUACCAAGGCUUUGACGGGUAGCCGGCCUGAGAGGGUGACCGGCCACAUUGGGACUGAGAUACGGCUCAGACUCCUACGGGAGGCAGCAGUGGGGAAUAUUGCACAAUGGGCGGAAGCCUGAUGCAGCAACGCCGCGUGCGGGAUGACGGCCUUCGGGUUGUAAACCGCUUUCGCCUGUGACGAAGCGUGAGUGACGGUAAUGGGUAAAGAAGCACCGGCUAACUACGUG